ensembl:lncRNA
UUUUUUUUUUUUUUUUUUUUUUUUUUUUUUUUUUUUUUUUUUUUUUCCUUUUUUUUUUUUUUUUUUCUUUACUCUAAAACAUAUUUUAUUAAAAUGACGACCGAUUUAAAUAAGAGACCAGUAAGAACAAGAAGAAAAAAAAUCAUGAAUUCGUUUUACUAUAAUAGUGAUUACAGUAAUGAUUUAAAUAAUGAGGAAACUAAAGCAGAAGCAAAUGUGGUGAAAAAAAGUAACACUUUAAUUAAUAAAACAAAGGAAGAACAGAAGAAAUAUUGUGCUUUAUAUAAAAUUGGUAAUGAUACAAACAGUAAUAAUAGUAUUAGUAGUUCUCGUUAUAAUAAUAUAAAUAAUGUAUCAGCUAUUGAUUCCGUUAUGAAUGAUUUAAAUGAUAGUAGUCGUAAUAGCUCAUUAACACUUCAAGAGAAAGGAAAUGAAAUAGUAGAAGAAAAGAUCAAUAAUAACAGUGGUGCAAUUGAUGGUAAUACUGUAGAUAGUAAUGUUGUGGAUGGUAAUGUUAUGGAUGGUAAUGUUGUAGAUGUUAGUGUUGUAGAUGAUAGUGUUGUAGAUGAUAGUGUUGUUGAUAGUAGUAUGAAUAAUAAUAGUGUAAUAAGCGAUAAUAUGGUCAAUGACAAUACGGAAAAUAUAAAUAGUACUAAUUACGCAAGUGAUGAUAGUAGUACGAAAUUAAAAAGUAUUAAAUCAAAUGAUAUUGCAAAUAUGAAAGCAGAAAUAAAAUUAGAAAGUAAUACAAGAAUAGAAAAGAGUAAAAGUUAUACUACCAACGGAACAAAUGUUUCUAACAGUAAAACAAGUUGUAACCGUGUAAAAAAUGUAUCAAGUGGUAAUGAGACUAAUUAUGCAAAAAUGGCUGAACAAUUACCACAUGUUGUAGGUGUUAGAUUUGACAAAUCACAAAAUAGAUGGUUGUCUGGAAUAUGUAUUAAUGGAAGAUGUAUUAAUAGAUAUUUUCCUGUUUAUAAAUAUGGAUUUGAAGAAGCUAGAAGGUUAGCAAUUCAGCAUAGAAAAAAUUUCGAAACGGCUAAUUUAGGUCAUAUAAAAAAACAACAAGGUGAAUCAAAAGCAUCUCACUUGAAUCUACUUAAUAUCAAUUCAAAAAUACCAAACGGGUUUAAAGAUAUUCAUGGAAAAAAUAAACUAAUUUUUAAAUAUCUUUCAUACGAUUCGAUUCAAAAGGAGUGGGUAAUAACAUAUGAUUAUGACAACAAAGUGCUAGUAAACAAGUUUCCUGUUGAUAUAUAUGGGUAUAACAAUGCGUAUGAAAUGGCUGUUCAGUGUAUUAAUAAAUUAUCUAUAUGCAACCAAAACAAGUUAUGUAAAGGGUUAGGUAAAAAUGAGAAUAAAAAAAAUUGCAAAGAUGACAUGAAAUCACAAUUUUCGAAUAAUUUUAAUAAUUUAACUAGUGAAGAAAGUGGUAUGUCAUUACCAUCAGUAGGUAAGGAGAAGUUUAACGAUAUAAUGAACAUGAAUAAUUAUAAUUUAUAUUAUGAUUUUGAGGGCACAACUAGUGGUAACCAACAAAAUAUACAUACGAUCAGCAACAGUAGUAUUGGUAAUAACUAUAACGAUAACAAAUACAACAUAAACUACAACAACAAUGACAAUAUAAACUACAACAACAAUGACAAUAUAAACUACAACAACAAUGACAAUAUAAACUACAAUAAUGAUGACAAUAUAAACUACAACAACAAUGAUAACAACGGUAGUGCUGAUUUUAUGUUGCAUAAAAAACAUAAGUCUUUAAACGAUAUGGACUAUCUAAAUAAUAGUUACGGUUCCAUAUUAAACGGAAUUUCAAGUUUUUAUAAAAAUAAUUCUUUGUUUUUAAAUAAUGAUAUGAAACUAUUAACAAGAUUAAAACAAAUGAACUCAAGCUCACUAAAUAAUAACAUUGUUAAUGAUGAUAAUGGCGACAAUAGUUAUAAUGACAAUAUUGAUGAUAACAAUAAUAGUAGUUGGAAUAGGAAUGACAAUAGCAAUGACAAUAGCAAUGACAAUAGCAAUGACAAUAGCAAUGACAAUAGCAAUGAAAAUAGCAAUGACAAUAGCAAUGAAAAUAGCAAUGACAAUAACAAUAGUAUUAAUAAUUAUCAAACUAAUUUAAUAAGCAACAUGCAUAUUAAUAAUAUGGGAACUGGGUUUCACAAAAAAGAGCUUUAUAAUAAUAAUAAUAAUAAUAAUAAUAAUAUAUUAAAUGAUGGUAGCUAUGAUCAUAAUAUCAAUAAUUUUUGUAGUAACAACUUUAACGAAGAGUUUAAUGAAAAUCGUAACAACUGUAAUAAUGAUUUUGCAUAUGAACUAUCCAAUGAUAAAGUGCUUCAUAAUAUAAAUGAAGAAAAUAAUUAUUUUUUAAGUAGUACACAUUUUAUGAACGAAACAGAAAAGGACUCGUGUUUAACAGAUACAAAUAACAGUUCUCAUUUGAAAAAAACUAAUGGAGGGGGUAGUAGUAGUAGUAAUAAUAACAGCAACGGUGACAGUAGUAAUAGUAGUAGUAAGUUUUGCCAAAUGUUAAAUGGUAUAAUACCAAAGGAUGAAGAGAAAAACAAAAAGGAUAUUUUAAAUAACUCUUUUAAUCAUAACAACUUAAACAAGCAAUACGAAGAGGAUAACUUUUUAUUUCAAAUAGAAAAUGAAAAUAAUAAAAAAGCAAACAAAUUGGUAAAUGUAAAUGCUCUCCCUAAUCAUUAUGAUAAACUGGAAAGUUAUAAAAACUUGAUGAAUAAUGUUUGUAACUAUAAGAAUGGUAAAAAAAGAAGUGGUAAUAAUUCAUUAAAUUCAAAAAAUUUAACCAAUUAUGAAUUUUUAAAUAUACAAGAUAAGAAAAAUGUUAUUACUAAUGAUUGUGAUAAUACUAGCGAUGGUAACAUGCUGAAUUUAAAAUCGAACAAGCGAUUAUUAAACAGCAUUAAUAAUAAUGACAUAUGUAAUAAUUUAAUAGAUUAUAAUAAUAGUAAUAAUAAAAAUAAUGACCAUAAAGCAAUGCCAUAUGAAGGAAUAAUAAAUAACGAAAAUAAAAAAGAUAGUUUUGAUGAAAUGAAAAAUGAUACAAUAAAAAAUGAUACAAUAAAAAAUAAUAAUAAAAGUUUAACAGAUAAUCUAAUUGAUUAUCAUAUGCCAAAUUUGAAUCUAAUGCUUAAAAACAUAUUAAACAAUAAUAGUGUUGAUAAUAAUGAAAAAAUUAUAAAAGGUAUUACCAUGUUAAAAAAUAUGACAAUGCAAGAUAAGUUAAAUGCAAUGAAUGUUAAUCGAUCAUGUGGUGGUAGUUACCCUUCGCUUAAUGAUGAUCAUAAUAAUAUGACUAACUUGUAUAAAACGGAAGGUAUGGACAAUAACUUGUUCCAAAACAAUUAUGCGAUGAACAUACAAAACUUAUUCAAAAUACAUUAUAAUGAUCCUGUAAAUUAUGAGGAUUAUUUUGUAGUGAAGAAUGUAAAACUGGGGGAUGUCGAUGGUGAUGAUGAUGAUGGUGAUGAUGAUGAUGAUGAUAAUAAUAAUAAUAAUAAUAAUAAUAAUAACAUUUUAAACGGGACUUCCGAACAAAUAGAAAAGGAUGCCAAUCAAUCUGACGAGGUUGGAAAAGUUAACCAAACUGAUAAAACUGAAAAAAAUGGAGAGAGUGGUGAAAAUGAAAAAAUUUAUCAGCCAAAUGAUACUCCAAACACUGAAAAAGUUUUUAACGACGAUAAAAAAAACAAAAUAAAUAUUUUAAAGUCUGAAAAAGAAAAAGAUGUUAAUAUGAAAGACCCAGUUGACACAAAUGAUAAUGUAGAUAUUGAUACUCAAUCUACUAAUAAUAUCAUUAAUGACGAUUUGAUUAAACAGAAUGUUCCCUUGAAUAGAGAUAAAGAAUUAUGUAGUACUACAUAUGCUGAAAAUGACGAUGAUAAUGAUAAGGUGAACCAAAUUAGUGAUAAGAAUAACGAAUCGGAUAAUCAGUUGAUCGUACCAAAUGAACAGUUUGAAGAAUACAAUGACAUAGCUUUAAAAUUGAAACCAUGGAAAAAAAAUAUCAAAUGGAAUAAACUCAAAAAGCUUUGGGUAUGUAUAUAUUGGGAUAAUGAUGGUAAUGAAAUAACAAAACAUAUUUGUGUCAAAAAUAAAGAAGGGAUAGAAAUAGGAUAUAAUUAUUGUAUUAAAUGUAUACUGGAUUCGUUUGAUUAUUAUUUAUUAAGCAUAUUAAACAAAUUGCCGAAGAUUGAUGAGAUUUCUUAUAGUAUAGAAAAAAUGUGUUUUAUACUUCAAUGUAAGAUUAAUAAGGAAAGUAUUGGAAGUGCUCACAAUGUUGACAGUGGUAACUAUAACAACAGCGGCAAAAACGAUGAAAAUGGAGAAAAGGAUGAAAAUGGAGAAAAGGAUGAAAAUGGAGAAAAGGAUGAAAAUGGAGAAAAGGAUGAAAAUGGAGAAAAGGAUGGAAAUGGAGAAAAGGAUGAAAAUGGAGAAAAGGAUGAAAAUGGAGAAAAGGAUGGAAAUGGAGAAAAGGAUGAAAAUGGAAAAAAGGACAAAAACGAUGAAAACGAUGAAAACGAUGAAAACGAUGAAAACGAUGAAAACGACAAAAACGACAAAAACGACAAAAACGAUAACAAUAACGAACAAAUAGUCUACUCUUUUGAAGGAGGAAUAUAUAACGCCUAUUUAAAUUGUAUUGAACAUUUGAAUAAACAAAAAAAAAACGAAAAGAGAAAGCAAGAAAAAGGAGAAAUGCUUGAUAAUGAUGAUGAUGAUGAUGAUGAUGAUAAUGAUGAUGCAUUAUAUGUUGUGGAAGAAGAAAAUAAAA